rnacentral:rRNA from 1 species
CCUACGGGUUGCACCAGUGGGGAAUAUUGCACAAUGGGCGCAAGCCUGAUGCAGCCAUGCCGCGUGUAUGAAGAAGGCCUUCGGGUUGUAAAGUACUUUCAGCGGGGAGGAAGGUGUUAUGGUUAAUAACCACAGCAAUUGACGUUACCCGCAGAAGAAGCACCGGCUAACUCCGUGCCAGCAGCCGCGGUUAUACGGAGGGUGCAAGCGUUAAUCGGAAUUACUGGGCGUAAAGCGCACGCAGGCGGUCUGUCAAGUCGGAUGUGAAAUCCCCGGGCUCAACCUGGGAACUGCAUUCGAAACUGGCAGGCUAGAGUCUUGUAGAGGGGGGUAGAAUUCCAGGUGUAGCGGUGAAAUGCGUAGAGAUCUGGAGGAAUACUGGUGGCGAAGGCGGCCCCCUGGACAAAGACUGACGCUCAGGUGCGAAAGCGUGGGGAGCGAACAGGAUUAGAUACCCUUGUAGUC